AUCCCUGGCCUCCUUCUCCCCAUCCAUGAGGCUCGCCCCGAUCCCUCCUCUCCUCUCCCCUUAGCUCCCGGGCUCUGCCCCGAACCCCCUCCGACGUUUCCGCCCCCUUUCUCUCUACAGGCCAGCUCAGUAGAGCAGCUGCGGAAGGAGGGCAAUGAGCUGUUCAAAUGUGGAGACUACGGGGGCGCUCUGGCGGCCUACACUCAGGCCCUGGGUCUGGACGCGACGCCCCAGGACCAGGCCAUUCUGCACCGGAACCGGGCCGCCUGCCACCUCAAGCUGGAAGAUUACGACAAAGCAGAAACAGAGGCAUCCAAAGCCAUUGAAAAGGAUGGUGGGGAUGUCAAAGCACUCUACCGGCGGAGCCAAGCCCUAGAGAAGCUGGGCCGCCUGGACCAGGCUGUCCUUGACCUGCAGAGAUGUGUGAGCUUGGAGCCCAAGAACAAAGUUUUCCAGGAGGCCUUGCGGAACAUCGGGGGCCAGAUUCAGGAGAAGGUGCGAUACAUGUCCUCGACGGAUGCCAAAGUGGAACAGAUGUUUCAGAUACUGUUGGACCCAGAAGAGAAGGGCACUGAGAAAAAG
rnacentral:sRNA from 1 species